rnacentral:rRNA from 1 species
UUAAACGGCCGCGGUAUUUUGACCGUGCAAAGGUAGCGCAAUCACUUGUCUUUUAAAUGAAGACCUGUAGGAAUGGUGGAACGAGGGCUUAACUGUCUCCCUCAUCUAGUCAAUGAAAUUGAUCUACCCGUGCAGAAGCGGAUAUAAGAAAUACAAGACGAGAAGACCCUUUGGAGCUUAAGACAAAAGACCAACUAUGUCAAAAGUCCUAAAAAUGAAACUAAACCAAAUAAUACUGGUCCCAGUCUUCGGUUGGGGUGACCGCGGGAGAAAGCAAAGCUCCCAUGUGGACAGGGACAAACCCCUAAAACUAAGAGAAACAUCUCUAAGACACAGAACAUCUGACCAUAAAGAUCCGGCUAUAUGCCGACCAACGGACCAAGUUACCCUAGGGAUAACAGCGCAAUCCCCUUCCAGAGUCCAUAUCGACAAGGGGGUUUACGACCUCGAUGUUGGAUCAGGACAUCCUAAUGGUGCAGCCGCUAUUAAGGGUUCGUUUG